rnacentral:rRNA from 1 species
UGGGGAAUUUUGGACAAUGGGCGAAAGCCUGAUCCAGCAAUGCCGCGUGUGUGAAGAAGGCCUUCGGGUUGUAAAGCACUUUUGUCCGGAAAGAAAUCCUUGGCUCUAAUACAGUCGGGGGAUGACGGUACCGGAAGAAUAAGCACCGGCUAACUACGUGCCAGCAGCCGCGGUAAUACGUAGGGUGCAAGCGUUAAUCGGAAUUACUGGGCGUAAAGCGUGCGCAGGCGGUUUGCUAAGACCGAUGUGAAAUCCCCGGGCUCAACCUGGGAACUGCAUUGGUGACUGGCAGGCUAGAGUAUGGCAGAGGGGGGUAGAAUUCCACGUGUAGCAGUGAAAUGCGUAGAGAUGUGGAGGAAUACCGAUGGCGAAGGCAGCCCCC